rnacentral:rRNA from 1 species
GACGAACGCUGGCGGCGUGCUUAACACAUGCAAGUCGAACGGAAAGGCCCUGCUUUUGUGGGGUGCUCGAGUGGCGAACGGGUGAGUAACACGUGAGUAACCUGCCCUUGACUUUGGGAUAACUUCAGGAAACUGGGGCUAAUACCGGAUAGGAGCUCCUGCUGCAUGGUGGGGGUUGGAAAGUUUCGGCGGUUGGGGAUGGACUCGCGGCUUAUCAGCUUGUUGGUGGGGUAGUGGCUUACCAAGGCUUUGACGGGUAGCCGGCCUGAGAGGGUGACCGGCCACAUUGGGCCUGAGAUACGGCCCAGACUCCUACGGGAGGCAGCAGCGGGGAAUAUUGCACAAUGGGCGGAAGCCUGAUGCAGCAACGCCGCGUGCGGGAUGACGGCCUUCGGGUUGUAAACCGCUUUCGCCUGUGACGAAGCGUGAGUGACGGUAAUGGGUAAAGAAGCACCGGCUAACUACGUG